rnacentral:misc_RNA from 1 species
GAGCCGCACACGACGUUUAAAAAAAUAUCGCCGCGGACUAAAGUACAUUCUACAAUAAUAUCAUAGUAUAAUAUUAUAUAUUAUUUAUAAUAAAUACCAUUGUAUCCGGAUCCAUUUCCGGUACAUCUCGCCGUCGUCGUAUAAACCGCACGCGGCCGUCGUCGUCGGUGCCCGAUAAUAUCAUACUAUAUAUUCGCGAUCUUCUUUUUCGUCCCAAAAAAACGAGCGUUAUUCCAUAUUACUGCAACUAUAACCUUUUCGCUCCCCGACGCCACACGCGCACACGUCUGUGCCGCGAUUUUUACCCGUACAACCACUUCGAGUGGUCGCCGUCGUCGUCCGCACCGUGUUUUGUACGCAACAGGCUUUUGAUCCGCCGCCGCCGCCUUUAAUACGCCAACGGCACGCAAACGGCGUACACGCGUGUACAUUUAACACCGUUCGUCUGACUACCGGAUAACCGCGAAAAAAGGAUUAACCUAAGUGGCGGAAUGCAGAAUGUUUUAGGGAGGAUAGCGGCCACAUUGGUUAUUUUAUGUCCAGUAAUUGUCUUUACAAUACCGGAGUCUGCUAUUCAAGCGUCAUCAAUCAAAUCCAGUCAAACUGAACAAGAUAACUCGGACUACACGAGGUCUUUCGACGAAGACCAAGAGGAGAAACGGGCAUGGCGAGAUUUGCAGACGGCUGGCUGGGGAAAACGUGGUUGGCAAAACUUAAAGACCACGUGGGGCAAACGGGCACAGGACUGGCAGAAUUUGCACUCGUCGUGGGGCAAGAGGCAGGGCUGGCAAAAGUUACACGGCGGAUGGGGAAAGCGCGGAUGGAAGGACAUGCAGUCCGGGGGCUGGGGAAAGAGGUUUAAGGAUCAGCCCGCCAGUGGUCAAUUGUCUCAGUUUGACGAGUAUCUAGACAAAUACGAAGAAGAAAAUCCUAACGAAGCAGAAAAACGAUCAUGGGACAAUUUCCAGGGAUCUUGGGGCAAAAGAGCAGCUGAUUGGACAAGCUUUAGAGGUAAGCCGGUUCGUGGGGGAAAAGAAAUCCCGUGGACUACAUGAACGAGUACUCAGGAUAUGGAGACAACGAUAAUUACAAAGCUUAUAUUUUUCCGCCAGGUUACAAUAGUUAUUUACCCAACUUCCAAACGGAAUAUGAAAAAUGAGACGUCAAUUCUCAACUUUUGAAAGUACUACCACGAAAAAAA